rnacentral:rRNA from 1 species
AUUGAACGCUGGCGGCAGGCCUAACACAUGCAAGUCGAACGAGUGGCGGACGGGUGAGUAAUGUCUGGGAAACUGCCCGAUGGAGAGGGAUAACUACUGGAAACGGUAGCUAAUACCGCAUACCAUCGGAUGUGCCCAGAUGGGAUUAGCUUGUAGGUGAGGUAACGGCUCACCUAGGCGACGAUCCCUAGCUGGUCUGAGAGGAUGACCAGCAAGACUGGAACUGAGAGACGGGCCAGACGCCGAAGGAAGGCAGCAGUGGGGAAGAUUGGACAAUGGGCGCAUGUAUGAUGAAGCCAUGCGGCGUGGAUGAAGAAGGCCUUCGGUUUGUAAAGUACUUUCAGCGGGGAGGCGGUACCCGCAGAAGAAGCACCGGCUACCUCCGGUCCAGCAGCCGCGGUAAUUC